UUGUCGGCUUUUGUGCGUGAGCCCUUGAUGAUGACGGCCCAGUGCUACUGAAACUCCUUUCUACGCGGAAAAGUGGUAGCUUUUCCGCAUUCCCUCACGCUCUGCGAUUGCUACUUGCCGGCGUUGUUUAUUUCUCGAGGCAUAAUUCAGCACCGCGGGCGGGGCGGCCUGGUUUCUCGUAUAUGGUUUUCGACGACUGCUGCUGCGGCUGCUUUCCACUGUCAACCGUCGUUUGGCGACAGAUGACAGGCUAUACCUGAACACCUGACACGAGCGACAGCGGCGCUGGUGGCCGGACGUCUAUCUUAUCUACUGUUUUCCGUCUUUUCAGGUGUCGUAAAAGCAAGUCGGAGCGCCUCACUUGGCGCCAAAAUAUUGACCAAAUGUGGCCGUAACAUGGUUCUCAAGUACACUCUAACGCCCAAGCAGUUUCACAAG